CCCUAGCAGUCUGAGUGGCAGCAAACAAAGGGCUGUGCCACUGUAUUCCCAGCAGGAAGCACGUGUUCAGUAAGUAAACUCUGCUCGAUCCUGGCACUCCAUCCAUGUUUUCUGUCAGCUGGUAAUCUCUGGCUGGUUUACCUACAGAGAACUCAGAAUCAGCAUUUAUAAUCCAAUUUUAUCAACAGAUUGCUUAUCAUCUCCCUCGUGAUGUGCACUGCACUGCCUUCAUGUAAGGAUUCGGUACCAUUCCCCUGGCUUCAAAGGGCUUGAGACCCACUGCAUUAUUUAUAAAGUUACCUUCAUAUGUUUGUUCCACUUGAUUCACUCUCGUGUGGACCCUGCAAGGACCAGAGCUGGAGAGAGGAGCAGGGUGUUAAGGGUCAGGCGCACAUUACCUGGGGCUG
rnacentral:lncRNA from 1 species